GUGCCAGCAGCCGCGGUAAUACGUAGGGGGCAAGCGUUGUCCGGAUUUAUUGGGCGUAAAGCGCAUGCAGGCGGUCCUAUAAGUUUGAAGUGACAGUUUCCGGCUUAACUGGGAAAGUGCUUUGAAAACUGUGGGACUUGAGGGCUUCAGAGGGACACGGAAUUCCGGGUGGAGUGGUGAAAUGCGUAGAUAUCCGGAGGAACACCGAAGGCGAAGGCAGUGUCCUGGGGAGCACCUGACGCUCAGAUGCGAAAGCCAGGGGAGCGAACGGGAUUAGAUACCCCAGUAGUCC
rnacentral:rRNA from 1 species